rnacentral:rRNA from 1 species
UACGUAGGCAGCGAGCGUUGUUCGGAGUUACUGGGCGUAAAGAGUGCGUAGGCGGUCUUCUAAGUUUGGUGUGAAAUCUCCCGGCUUAACUGGGAGGGUGCGCCGAAGACUGGAAGGCUUGAGUAUGGGAGAGGUAAGCGGAAUUCCUGGUGUAGCGGUGAAAUGCGUAGAUAUCAGGAGGAACACCUGCGGUGUAGACGGCUUACUGGACCAUCACUGACGCUGAAGCACGAAAGCGUGGGUAGCAAACAGG